AACCUGACCUCUCGGCAGGUGUCCCAACUCUAUUUGCUUACCCUCUCUCACAUUUCUACUCUGGAGGAAGGCUAAGUAUUUCCUACUUUCAGUCCUGAGUGUUUAAUCCACCAAGGGAGAGAAUUUAGCCCGAGAAGGUAAGGUCAAGAUGCUUUGCCCGCUGUUCUUGAUCCUUCCCCUCCUGGGAAAUCGAGUCCCUGUUAUUCAAGAUCUGAAAAUGAACCUAUACGAUCCAAUUGAGGCAACAGAAUUUAUAUGAAGAUGACAACCUGCUCCCCUGAAAUACAUCAUCAUUCACCCAGACUAUUCUGACUUCAUGGCAAGCUCUGAUCUUGCUCGGCUAAAGCUUCAGUCCCUUUGUACAUUUGACCAAGACUGUCCAACCCAUCAUUCUCUCUGCAGUCUCACAGACCUUUACCCCAGACAUGGAAUUUGGGAGGGACUGGCUGGGGGAACAUUGAAUCUGGAGUGCAUCUGCCCCCUCCUCACACCUUAAAGUAAGUGCAGGUCCCUGUGAUGGAUGCCUUAACCUGUAACCAGAAAUACCAUCUGAAUUCCUCCAUUCCUGCAUCUGAGAAGAUUGUCCUUGACAACAUGACUUGUGCUGAUGAAGUUGACAAGAGCUUCUGCCAGGUCAUUCAGCUAAUAUGGAACACAGCUGGGAAGUGAAUCCUUGUCCCUUGGCUCUGGAGCAUCCUGAUAAAUGUUUAAGAACUAGCUCUCUGAAAGGUAUGACACAGUUUUAAGUUUAAUUGUUAUUUACCUUUUCAGCCCUUUCUUACUUCCAGAUAAUCAAUAAAACAAUAAACCAAGCCUUGACUUGUAGAGUUU